GACGAACGCUGGCGGCGUGCUUAACACAUGCAAGUCGAACGGAAAGGCCCUGCUUUUGUGGGGUGCUCGAGUGGCGAACGGGUGAGUAACACGUGAGUAACCUGCCCUUGACUUUGGGAUAACUUCAGGAAACUGGGGCUAAUACCGGAUAGGAGCUCCUGCUGCAUGGUGGGGGUUGGAAAGUUUCGGCGGUUGGGGAUGGACUCGCGGCUUAUCAGCUUGUCGGUGGGGUAGUGGCUUACCAAGGCUUUGACGGGUAGCCGGCCUGAGAGGGUGACCGGCCACAUUGGGACUGAGAUACGGCCCAGACUCCUACGGGAGGCAACAGUGGGGAAUAUUGCACAAUGGGCGGAAGCCUGAUGCAGCAACGCCGCGUGCGGAAUGACGGCCUUCGGGUUGUAAACCGCUUUCGCCUGUGACGAAGCGUGAGUGACGGUAAUGGGUAAAGAAGCACCGGCUAACUACGUG
rnacentral:rRNA from 1 species